UGUGGAGUAGGGGAGGCAGCAUCAUCAAAACUGCCUAUCUGAGCAUGCAGUCCCUGUGGCUUGGAGACCCCGCCCCCUCUGGACAGAGGGAGAGGUUGUGGUCAGAAGCCUUGAAUGCCAGGAGGGCUCUUCCUUCCUCUGUCCACCUUCUCCCCACACACACAGUGUUCUGGUGACUGUCUUGGAAGGAUCGUCACCCUUCAGCUUUGCACAGAGUCACAGACGGUUGCUGAUGACCUGGGAGCUGUGGACAACCUGAGCAUGGUGCCCUCCAUGACUGAAGCUGCUCCUAUGAGGGCUUAGGAGACAUACAGAUCUCAAGGAACCCCUCCCACCGAAUAUGGAAUCUCUGCGAAUCUUCCCUGCAUCAUGAGCAUAACUGCUCCAAGUCCGGCAUCCCAGAUGUCUUCCUCUUGCUAGACGUGUCCUCCCCCUGCAGCUGUAUGUGACACACCCAGAGGGGAUUCCUCAGCAUCACCCAGAGGUUGAAGCCUCUGUCAGGAACCAUUCUGUGCUACCUUUCAUUCCCACCCCCAUGCCCCCUCUCCACUCUUCUCCCUGCCCCUGCUCCAGGAGGAAGGAUGUUGUGUCUAUGACAUUCACAAACCCCUGUUUUCCAACAUCUAGUUGGGUUCAACCAACAAAGAGCUAUGGCAGAAAAUUUGCAGGAACCAAAAGAGUGAGGCUCCCUUCCUGGGGAGUCUCCCUGGACUGGCUCUGCUCUUUGAGAAAAAUGUUUGUGAGUUUAAUGUGAAACCCUGAAUGGUUUUAGAAAGAUAAGUGUGCUAGUUGAAGGCUGGUCAGGAAAAGGAUGGUCAACUCUAAUUAGAAUAAGAAAGGGACAAUUCAAUAAACGGACUAUUAUAGUGAAAGCGAACUAAAUGUGGCCUGAGAAGGACUCCCUACUUCUGUAUUUGAGUCCCUGUGGACUAACCACAACCUAACUUAGUAGGUAGAUGAGAUUGAAAACCUAAUUUAGGAGUAUGUACCUGUAACAAUAGCUGAGUCUCAGCCAAUCCAAGCAGCCAUACUUCAACCACUCAUACACUGCUGAGUGUUCAAACUGUGUUCAAAUAAAGC
rnacentral:lncRNA from 10 species